rnacentral:rRNA from 1 species
UACGAAGGGGGCUAGCGCUGCUCGGAAUCACUGGGCGUAAAGGGUGCGUAGGCGGGUCUUUAAGUCAGUGGUGAAAUCCUGGAGCUCAACUCCAGAACUGCCUUUGAUACUGAGGAUCUUGAGUUCGGGAGAGGUGAGUGGAACUGCGAGUGUAGAGGUGAAAUUCGUAGAUAUUCGCAAGAACACCAGUGGCGAAGGCGGCUCACUGGCCCGAUACUGACACUGAGGAGCGAAAGCGUGGGGAGCAAACAGG